GCCCGCUUAACUCAGUGGCAGAGUGUUGCACUUGUAUAUUUAUGUUUCAUUUCGAUGGGACAGCUAAAUAUUAAAUGCAUUGGUCAGUCGUUCAAUCCGGCUAGUGGGCA